rnacentral:lncRNA from 1 species
GGAGUAAGUUACUGUACAGAAAAAAGUUAUGUAGUCCUUAACUACUAAAAUCAAGUCACUAACUCCUGAAUUCUGUGGUGCAUUUAAUCUAGUGCUGCAUUCUGCGCUGAAAUUGUGGACUAUUUACUGUGGAAUCCAGAUAACCAUGCAUGAAUGCUGAAAUUAUUGACUAUUUACUAUGGAAUCUAGAUAACCAUGCAUGAAUGCUGAAAUUGUGGACUAUUUACUAUGGAAUCCAGAUAACCGUGCAUGAAUGCUAAAAUUUAGUCCUUAAUACGUUGCUAUGCUGAAACCAUGGACUAUUUACCGCGUCCAGAUAACCAUGCAUGAAGUCAAUGGUUCCAAUUUUGCUUGACUAUAAUGCAGUCCAGAUAACCAUGGAUACAUAAUAUAAUCCUCCCAUACCCAUCUUCUUUUCCCUACCUUUCAUCUUCCUACUCUGACUAGAAACCCUAUCUUCCAUCUCACAUCUUCCUAAGCCAAAGCCAUGGCGGAUUCAUCUUCAUACUCAGAUGAUUCCGAUGAACUUCCAAAAUCAUUGAAGAGCAUGUUGCUGAGCAGAGCGUCCUUGACUCCUUUGAUAGGAUGCUCGCAAUGAAGAUCAAGACUGCCUUAUCGG